AUUGAACGCUGGCGGCAGGCUUAACACAUGCAAGUCGAGCGGGGUGAUGGUGCUUGCACUAUCACUUAGCGGCGGACGGGUGAGUAAUGCUUAGGAAUCUGCCUAUUAGUGGGGGACAACAUCUCGAAAGGGAUGCUAAUACCGCAUACGUCCUACGGGAGAAAGCAGGGGAUCACUUGUGACCUUGCGCUAAUAGAUGAGCCUAAGUCGGAUUAGCUAGUUGGUGGGGUAAAGGCCUACCAAGGCGACGAUCUGUAGCGGGUCUGAGUGGAUGAUCCGCCACACUGGGACUGCGACACGGCCCAGACUCCUACGGGAGGCAGCAGUGGGGAAUAUUGGACAAUGGGGUGAACCCUGAUCCAGCCAUGCCGCGUGUGUGAAGAAGGCCUUAUGGUUGUAAAGCACUUUAAUCGAGGAGGAGGCUUACCUAGUUAAUACCUGGGAUAAGUGGACGUUACUCGCAGAAUAAGCACCGGCUAACUCUGUGCCAGCCGCCGCAGUAA
rnacentral:rRNA from 1 species